UCUUGGUACCCUCACUGAUAACUGGGAGAUUCAGGAGCUGGAUCUUGGCACCUUUGUAUCUGAUGACACCAGGAACUAUAGGUGCACACAGGUCGCCAAACUCUGCAUACUGAAUAAAACAAAGCAGAAAGACAAAUUUAUUGCAACAGUUUUGACCUGCAAACUGGGAAACUGAAGCCUACCCAGAGGGUAGUGGAGUCAAUGCAACAAGUAAGUCCAAAGAUGAUGUUAACAGACGUGGUGUUGGGGGAUUGGCUGGCAUCCUUUGCUGAUUUCUAAGAAGAGCUGUAAAUUUCUGUAACUUAGGUAAGUCUGUUUUGUUUUUCUUUAAUGAGACUAUACAGCCCAGUUCCAUUUUGUCUUUAAUAUACGUGACUCCAUUUUUAUUUUGGUUCUAUAGUAUACAUAUGUGUACAUACACAUCUGC
rnacentral:lncRNA from 1 species